rnacentral:rRNA from 1 species
ACGAACGCUGGCGGCAUGCCUAACACAUGCAAGUCGAACGUGACCUUCGGGUCUAGUGGCGCACGGGUGCGUAACGCGUGGGAACCUGCCCUUAGGUUCGGAAUAACUCCCCGAAAGGGGUGCUAAUACCGGAUAAUGUCUUCGGACCAAAGAUUUAUCGCCUUUGGAUGGGCCCGCGUUGGAGUAGCUAGUUGGUAGGGUAAAAGCCUACCAAGGCGACGAUCCAUAGCUGGUCUGAGAGGAUGAUCAGCCACACUGGGACUGAGACACGGCCCAGACUCCUACGGGAGGCAGCAGUGGGGAAUAUUGGACAAUGGGCGAAAGCCUGAUCCAGCAAUGCCGCGUGAGUGAUGAAGGCCUUAGGGUUGUAAAGCUCUUUUACCCGGGAUGAUAAUGACAGUACCGGGAGAAUAAGCUCCGGCUAACUCCGUG